GUACGUGUACAAAUAUCAUACACACAAGUGCACACGUAGUACACACAUAGUACACACGUAGCACACACAUAGUACACACGUAGCACCCGCUUCAGUAGACUAGUACACACAUAGUACACACAUCGUAAACACAUAGUACACACAUAGUAGACUAGUAAACACGUAGUACACACAUAGUACACACAUAGUAGAUCAGUACACAUCUAGUACAUACAAAGUACACAUACAGUAGAGUAGUACACACAUCGUAAACACAUAGUACACACAUAGUAGACUAGUUCACAUCUAGUACACACAAAGUACACAUAUAGUAGACGACACACAUAGUACACAUACAUAUAACCUCAUGUAUAUCACAGGUACAUGUUCAUAUAAUACAUGUACAGAUAUAGUACACACAUAAUUCAGCUAUAGUACGCACAAAACUCUUAUCCAACCUCCCGUAAAGACAUAUAGCCGUUGUUUCAACAGUCCGACUGCACAGAGCUAUUCUGGGAAAAAGUAAACAAGCCUCAGGCGACACACACACACACACUCACGCACACAAACUCAUACACAAACACACAUACUCAACACACAAACACACGCACACACACACACACAUACACACAAGCACACGCACAAGAACGCACACAAACGCACACACACAAGGAAGCACACACAAGUACGCAAACACACACACACAAGGACGCACAAACACUCACACACACUUGCACACACACACACACACACACACACACACACACACACUCUCACACACACACGCACACGCACGCACACAGGCACACACAGUCACACACUCUCCCAGGAGUGAACACAAGAGGUGCAGCCCAGCUGUAUUUUCAGGCCGUUCACUUCCUUAUUGCGUACCUGCUCCGGAGUGUGUGGACGCCUCCCUCCCAACUGUCACUGCUGUUGUUUGGGCUGUGCGUGUGCGUGUCGCCCCAGGGGGGAUGGUGUAGUGGUGUUGAUCGUGUCUCAUAUCCGUACCUGGAUGUCUCCGGGGGGGGGGGAGGAACGCCUGAGUGACCCUCUGUAGAGAGCACAGAGUACCAGACCGUGCCGGGAAGGACGCAGAAUAACGCUACAGCGUUUCCGGGACCAGAAUAGCCCGACUGAGUCCUCUGUGAGCAAGAAAACACACCGCUACGUCCACGCCACUGUACACCCUCAUCUGGUCGGAGGACAGGACGGUGGCUCCAGCCUGCGGACUGUGUGUGCAGGCGUUGGGGGGGGCCGGCGUGGAGGGGGUCUACCCCAGUCCAACAGAUCACUGGUGAUAGUGAACGGCGUUCUGAUUGAGCGGGCAUACAGCCUUUAGGUUAGGAGAUCCUGGAGGGGUGCUCGGAUGAGGAAAGGCUGGUGAUAAGGUCGCUGUGUGUGUGUGUGUGUGUGUGUGUGUGUGUGUGUGUGUGUGUGUGUGUGUGUGUGUGUGUGUGUGUGUGUGUGUGUGUGUGUGUGUGUGUGUGUGUGUGUGUGUGUGUGUGACUAUACUCUCCGUGCCAGGCUCUAGUUACAGGACCUGCUGUGUGGCUAGUGUGUGUUUUUGUGUUUGUGUCUUUGUGUGGGUGGGUGCGUCUUUGUGUGUGUGUUUGUGUGUGUGUGAGUGUGCCUCUUUGUGUGUAUGUUUUUGCGUGUUUUCAGUCUGCAUGCCUGUGUGGAUGGGUUCCAGUUACACAUGGUCCAAGCCCGGCCGAGACGUGUCUCUCUCUCUCUCUCUCUCUCUCUCUCUCUCUCUCUCUCUCUCUCUCUCUCUCUCUCUCUCUCUCUCUCUCUCUCUCUCUCUCUCUCUCUCUCUCUCUCUCUCUCUCUCUCUCUCUCUCUCUCUCUCUCUCUCUCUCUCUCCUAACUUGAUUUGCUUUCCUUUUUCUUUAUAAAACCUAAACUCUUUUACAGUGACAGCAGAAACGGUAAUAGAACCAUCUAGUGACCAUAGAAGGGUUACAACAACAGUCAAACCAUAACAUUGACGGUGGAACAGUAAGAGUAACAGUAGAUAUUAUAUACAGUUACAAAAGAAGUGUUAGUAGAACAGCUACAGUACAACAGUAUAAGCAGAAUAACAGUAACAGUAGAAGCCUUACAGGAACAGUACAAGCCUUACAGUAACAGUAGAGGCCCGUGAGGGAGAGUUCUAUUUCUGACUCAGGACAAACAAACAGUCUGAUUGUCCUGCUGCCCGGUUUGUGAUACGAAACCAACGCACACGGGAAACCUGACCUGUGUGUGUGUGCGUGUCUGUGUCUGUGUGUGUGUGUGUGUGUGUGUGUGUGUGUGUGUGUGUGUGUGUGUGGCUGUGUGUGUGUGUUUGUGCAUAUAUGUCUUUGCGAGUGUUCACGUCUGUGUACUUGUGUGCAUGGAUAUGUGCGACUGUGUGUGUGUGUGUGUGUGUGUGUGUUUGUGUGUGUGUGUGUGUGUGUCUUUAAACUGAUCCAUCCCAGCUCCCUUGUCUUGGCCCUCUCCCGUCCAUGAAGGCUUAUCACAUGUGUAUUAAGGAGAGCCUUUAUGCACUGGAGUGUCGACCUGUAUGAAAGCUGGGCAGACUGGGCUCUACAGGUGAUCACCUGCUGCUAGUCAUGUGAUCACCUGUUGUCUGUUGUCAUCUUGAUCGAUUUGUCUCUCUAUUUACUCAGGUCUCUCUGUGUCUCUGUCUUUCUCUCUGUCUCUCUCUCUCUCUCUCUCUCUCUCUCUCUCUCUCUCUCUCUCUCUCUCUCAUUCUCUCUGUCUGUCUCUCUCCAUCUCUAUUUCUCUCUCUUUGUCUGCAGGGUCGUUUCUAAUUUUAGGCUGAUUCCAUUGAUAGAAAUACAUGUAAUGUUUACACUAUUAUGGGUGCGCUUAUCUGUGUGUGUGUGUGUGUGUGUGUGUGUGUGUGUGUGUGUGUGUGUGUGUGUGUGUGUGUGUGUGUGUGUGUGUGUGUGUGUGUGUGUGUGUGUGUGUGUGUGUGUGUGCACGUGUGUGUGUGUGUGUGUCUGUAUACCUCUGCUGCCAACAUUCCUGGGUCUAUUAAUCAUCACAUUGAUAUCUGUGUUUCUUCAGUGUUUGUGAAUACGUGCGUGUGUUGUGCGUGCAUGCGUGUGUGUGUGUGUGUGUGUGUGUGUGUGUGUGUGUGUGUGUGUGUGUGUGUGUGUGUGUGUGUGUGUGUGUGUGUUUUAUGUCUGUAUCUGUGUCUUGUGUGUGUUGUGAUAGGAAUGUUAAGGUCCUCUCUGCUUCUGUGUGGUUCCAGACGAGGUGUGACUGUGCAUAUUCAUGAGGACCCUUCAUCCCCUCUCAUCCUUCCCCUUAGAGAGAGAGAGAGAGAGAGAGAGAGAGAGAGGUGAGGAAGAGAGAGACCAGAGGGUCAUAAGUUAGGGACAGAGUAAGAAACAGAUGGGAGAGAGUGAGAGGGACUGAGAGAAGGAAGGACAGAGAGGACCUAAGGAAACGCUCUGGAGAUGGGAUUCUAAACUCGAAACAGGAAAUGACCCUUUUGCUCAUUGUUGUGUUUUUAUAGACCGAACUUCCUGUUGGGGCUGCCUUGGCCCCGCCCAAAAAACCUGUUGCCAUGGCGACAUGCACUGGUAUUUAUGGGAUGUCCUCCGGCAUCUGAUAGAACUAAAGUUUAUAUUGAGGUAGCUGCAUAAUCCUGCUAACCAGCUAAAUGGUCUAGCCAUGCUCACUGGUCAAAGUGAGCAGCAUGCUAACAGGCUAACCAUCAUGGGUGUGUGUGGGUGUGUGCAUGUGUUGGUUUAUGGGUGUGUAUGUGUGUGUGUGUACGUUUGUGCACGUGUGUGUGUGUGAAACCCACCCGUUUUUUGUAUUCUGCAAUAAUCCUUUUGUACCUGUAUGUAUGAUAUUAUUAUAAGUGUGUGUGUGUGUGUGUGUGUGUGUGUGUGUGUGUGUGUGUGUGUGU
ensembl:lncRNA